UACGAAGGGUGCAAACGUUGUUCGGAAUCACUGGGCGUAAAGCGCGUGUAGGCGGCUGCGCAAGUCGGGCGUGAAAUCCCGUGGCUCAACCACGGAAGUGCACCCGAAACUGCGUAGCUGGAGUCUCGGAGAGGAAGGCGGAAUGCUUGGUGUAGAGGUGAAAUUCGUAGAUAUCAAGCGGAACACCGGUGGCGAAGGCGGCCUUCUGGACGAUGACUGACGCUGAGACGCGAAAGCGUGGGGAGCAAACAGG
rnacentral:rRNA from 1 species